CAAAUCUCUUUGGCUGGCUGGUGUCCUGAUUUCUUGCCCCAGUGCUGAGGAGAAAACCAGAGGGUCUGAAAGGCAGGUUGUAGUUAUUCUCCCUGUAAACUGGGGAUAAUGCUCCUUUAGAGAUACCAUCAGUGCAACAUUGUCACUCUUUGGAACUCCAGAGUCAAGAAUGAGAACCCUGGAAGAUGAUGUCUUCAAAGAAGCAUGUUACAGGUCCUGUUCCGACGGUGAAGAAGCAUGGCCACUCUGAGUCCUAGAGGAGACAGCACAAAGACAGGAGACACUGAUGUAUGGCUGGGAUCCAGUCAACUAAAUGGACCAGAGGCAGCUUGUCCUCCUCAUGGUGCAGCUACGGAUUGACACACAGCUAAUGCUAUCCAGACUCAGAUAACCCACUGAGAAUCGCUGAGAAAGGACAAUCUGGAGGAAACAGAUGGGAAUGCGUUUGAGGGUAUUACUUGCCUCCUUCCCAGGGUGAAAUCCCAGGCAGGUACCGAGAGGGACGGGAGAACAGUAACACAAAUAGCCUGAUUCUUAGCCCUCCACACCCUCUCCCCCACCCCCGCUUCACACUGUGGCUUCAAUGCACUUGCGGCUGAUUUACACUGGCAUAAGUGCUGCUGUGGGGGUGGGGAGGAGCGUCGCAUGUCGGGAAACAGCGUGUUGCUAGAUAGAAGUUGAAAUGUUUGCAAAAUCUCCCUGAUGUGACUAACUCUGGAAGUAUGAAGAACCCCCACGUCCAUCUCCCCUCCUAUGGAUAAAAGUGCUGGGUCAAGAUAAGCAUGGCAGGCUGCGGCAAGCCGUUCUCAGUGGCCGCUCACCUCCCCCCGGUACCCUCAGAGUUCACACACCAAGUGGGGGCUUUGUUCCCUAACAGGGCUCUUAAGCACAAACACGUCUUGUACUUUUCUUCUCUCUGGUUUUUGGCAUUUAGGUCACCAGGGCUUUUCUAAGAUGACGCAAAAAUUGACUUUUAACUCUUUGGGCUGGUAUGCUGGGUUCACUCCCAAACCAGGUCAAUGCCCCCUCAGGGCCUGGGAAAGGAGAGAUUAAAGUUCCUCAGAGGCCCAGUACAGGACGGUAUGUAAGGUUGAGAAGGCCUGACUUGCCUCUCCCACAGUUGUACAUCCAGAGCUAUCCCAUUGAUGUUCAUGGGCCUGACUCUCUUCUCACUCAUCCUGAUGUAAAUCAAGAGUUACCCCAUUGAACUCAACAGGCCCGAUUCGCCUCUCAUUCACCCUGGGGUGUCAAUCAGGGGUAACUCCACUGAAAUGAAUGUAAUUACAUUGACAUAGACCCAGCAUGAGAGUAGUGUCAGGCCCUAGAGGGUAUGUCUACGUGGCAAAAAUUGACUUUUAACUCUUUGGGCUGGUAUGCUGGGUUCACUCCCAAACCAGGUCAAUGCCCCCUCAGGGCCUGGAAAAGGAGAGAUUAAAGCUCCUCAGAGGCCCAAAGGACGGUAUGUAAGGUUGAGGAGGCCUGACUUGCCUCUCCCACAGUUGUACAUCCAGAACUAUCCCAUUGAUGUUCAUGGGCCUGACUCUCUUCUCACUCAUCCUGAUGUAAAUCAAGAGUUACCCCAUUGAACUCAACAGGCCCGAUUCGCCUCUCAUUCACCCUGGGGUGUCAAUCAGGGGUAACUCCACUGAAAUGAAUGUAAUUACAUUGACAUAGACCCAGCAUGAGAGUAGUGUCAGGCCCUAGAGGGUUUGUCUACGUGGCAAAGAAAAACCCAUGAGUGGCCUGUACCAGCUGACUUGGGCUCACAGGGCUCAGGCUAUGGAGCUGUUGCAUUGCAGUAUAGACUUCCGGUCUUGGGGUGGAGCCCAAGAUCUGGAAUCCUCCCACCCCGCAGGGUCCGAGAGCCCGGGCUCCCACCCAAGCCUGGAAGUCUAACUGCAAUGAAACAGCCCUCAGCCCGAUCCCCACGAACCCAAGUCCGCUGAGACGGGCCAGCCGCAGGUGUCUAGUUGCUGUGUAGACAUCCCCCUAGAGUAGGGGAGGAUGAAAUAAGGAGGUCAGUAACUUACUUUAAUUCCCUGCUCUUCAUCUGCGUUCGUAAUGCUGACAGUCGAGGGGCUGAAAUGAGCAAGGGAGCCAGUUUGGCAAACCACACGGAGUGUGAAAGCAAGCAGCUCUGCCGCUCCGCAAUCAGCUGUGCUUCCAAUCCGUGUGCUACUGAUUGUGAAAACAUGAAUGUAAUUAGUCUAAAUAAGCACCAAAGAUUUCAGAGCAGCCUGACCACCCAGAGGCAAAUAGCUGGUGUGCAGAAAGGAAAGCCCUGUUCCUUGGUUUCUGUAACACUUGCUAAUGAAGCAAGGUUGGGUGGCUGAGCAAACAGUUAGCAGCUCUCCAGGGAUUGCUGUGUGUUGUGGGGUUCCCACAAACAUACAGCAUUUCUCAUACCAACCAAGAAUUUGCUCUCAGGAUAGACAACACGGGCUGCAACCAUCACUGCAUUUAAUGUAUUGCUGUCUGGAAAAGGAUCCUUUUGGUGUUAGGCAAACCAACUCUGAGCCCUGAAAUGGCCACUCAACCACCCAUGACCAAAAAUGCCCUCACAUGUCACACAACCACUUGCUAGCCAGGACCAAACAUAACAAGUAAGCAAGUUCACCCGAAUGCCUGGAUAACACAGUGCACUUGGAGCACAUACUAAACACUGAACCAUUUCCAAACAAAGGAAGUAAUGCUUUUAUAUUGCAUCCUCUGUUCCUUCAUGCACCCUAUAUUGUACCUCUCUAGCUAAUUACAGUGAACGGGAACAGCCUGCCAGGGGCACUGGAGGUGGCAUGUCAGGGAGAUCCACUCUUCUGGAUAAGCAUCGUUUCCUCAGUGGCAGCUAGACCACUGGCUGUGUGAGCUUUCUCAUACCCACGUUCUAAACACUGCCAGUUAGGACUGUUGGCUUCAGGCAGAAGAGCAGGAAUAGGAACAUUGAAAGAAAGCACCAUGUUUCAGAGAUGAUCAGACUUGGGUAUUUACAUCUCCAGAGUACUCACAGAUUGUCACUUUUACUUUUGGCCACAGAAGAUGGGUAGGGAUCCACUGGAUCCCACUUUGGGGUGGGGGGUGGGAUGGACGCACUCCUUGGAAAUCAAUGCUAUACUACUGCAAAUUAAAGCAAUAUGUCUGCUCAAGGCCCUUUGCUUUAUGUCCUGGUUUCUUGAGUGAAGAGGCUCAGAUAAGUUUCCAUGGGUUUUGGAUAAACAAAACGUUGGAUGAACCGUGCCAGGUUCUCCAUCCAGCACUAUGCCUCAUUUGUUUUUCACUGAGCCACUUUGUGGUUUUUUCUCCAUGGUGUGCACCUGUUUCAAUGGAACAUCAAUCGGCGGAAGAUUUGGCAUUCUAAAUGGAGAUUUGUGCCAAGGUGAUGUAUCCUUGGCAUUAGGGCAAAGUAGUUGAUGUCUAACCUGAGCUGUGAAACUGUCUGAGACAGAUUCUCCUUUCAACUGCACUGCGGCUACCCUCCUUGUGAUGAAGUGGAGUGGCCGGGAUGUAAGUGAGAGGAGAAUGUGGCACUACAAAUACCGUCCAGUUUUGCGGAAUUUAAAGAGCUUAUUCUUCUGGGUUAGAUUCGAGUUGUGUACCUUGAACAAGUUGCAGGGACUGGGAUGCAGAAUAUUUAACACAGAGUGUCCAUAAUGAUAGUUUAGAAUGAAAUAUGUGACCAGGGCCCAUUGAGAAAUGAUUUUGAUCUGCACAAGUUCUUUCUUGCCAUGCUUGUCAAGCGAAAACUCAUAAAAUGGAAAGAAACGAGGAAAGUAGUGGAGGAGAAAGGCAACUGGACAGGAGAAAUCCUGGGGGAAGAAAAAAAACACACCCACAACAGGGGAGUAGUUACACUGCAAGGAGUUGUUAAAGUUCCCUAGGGAACUUUUGGAGGAUCUCUGAAAUUAAGUCAUGGAAGACAGGUGAGAUUCCAGAGGACUCAAAAAGGGCAAAUAUAGUGCCAAUCUAUAAAAAGGAGAAUAAGAACAACCCAGGAAUUUACAGACCAGUCAGCUUAACUUCAGUACCCAGAAAGAUAAUGGAGCAAAUAAUUAAGUAAUCAAUUUGCAGAUACCUAGAAGAUAUUAAGGUGACAAGUAACAGUCAGCAUGGAUUUGUCAAGAACAAAUCAUGUCAAAUCAAUGUAAUAGCAUUCCUUGACAGAAUAACAAGCCUUGUGGAUAGGUGGGAAGCUGUAGAAGUGAUAUAUCUUGGCUUUAGUAAGGCUUUUGAUACUGUAUUGCAUGGCAUUCUCAUAAACAAAGUACAGAUAUACAACCAAGGUGGAGCUACUAUCAGGUAGGUGCAUAAAUGGUUGGAAAACCAUUCCCAGAGAGUAGUUAUCAGUGGUUCACAGUCAAACUGGAAGGACAUAUCAAGUGGGGUCCCACAGGGAUCAGUUCUGGAUCCGGUUCUGUUCAAUAUCUUCAUCAGUGAUUUAGAUAAUGGCAUAGAGAGUACACUCAUAAAGUCUGUGGAUGAUACCAAGCUGGGGGAGGUUGCAAGUGCUUUGGAGGAUAGGAUUAAAAAUCAAAAUGAUCUGGACAAACUGGAGAAAUGGUCUGAAGUACAUAGGAUGAAAUUCAAUAAGGACAAAUACAAAGGACUCCACUUAGGAAAGAACAAUCAAUUGCACACAUACAAAAUGGGAAAUGACUGCAGAGGAAGGAGUACUGUGGAAAGGGAGCUGGGAAUCACAGGGAAUCACAAUCUAAAUAGGAGUCAAGAGUGUAACACUGUUGCAAAAAAAGCAAAGAUCAUUCUGGCCUACAUUAACAGGAGUGUUGUAAGCAAGACACGAGAAGUAAUUCUUUCACUCUACUCUGCACUGAUGAAGCCUCAACUGGAGUAUUGUGUCCUGUUCUGGGCGCCACCUUUCAGGAAGGAUGUGGGCAAACUGGAGAAACUCCAGAGAAGAGCAACAAAAAUGAUGAAAGGUCUAGAAAACAUGACGUGUGAGGGAAUAUUGAAAAUAUUGGAUUUGUUUAGUCUGGAGAAGAGAAGAUGCAGAAGGGACAUGAUAACAGUUUUAAAGUACAUAAAAGGCUGUUACAAGGAGGAGGGAGAAAAAUUGUUCUCUUUAACCUCUGAGGAUAGGACAAGCGGCAAUGGGCUUAAAUUGCAGCAAGGGAGGUUUCGGUUGGACUUUAGGAAAAACUUCCUAACUGUCAGAGUGGUUAAGCACUGGAAUAAAUUGCACAGGGAGUUUGUGGAAUCUCCACCAUUGGAGAUUUUUUAAGAGAAGAUUAGACAAACACCUGUCAGGGAUGGUCUAGAUAACACUUAGUCCUGUCUUGAGUUCAGGCGACUGGACUGAGGUCCCUUCCAGUCCUAUGAUUCAAUAUGAUUCUAUAAAAUGAGGGGAUAGGAAAGGAACAGACACUAAAUCAAAGGAGCCCUAAUAGUGGGAUUUGAGGCAGUCUGCUGUUGGGGCUAAAUCAUGCAUUAUCGAAGGUGAGGCUGUUGUGCGCAUUUGGCCUUACAUUUGGAAGGAUGCCAAGAGCUUUAAUGUUCGGUAUUGAAAGAUGCAAAUAACCCCAGCAAGAUGGGCGUGUGGGAAAUUUCUAUCACUUCCUUGUGCUGCUCCUUCGUUGGCCUCUGGGGCCUAAUUUCUCCCUCAGCUCUACCCAGACAUAGACCUUUCUACUUACUCCAAAGAAGUUGCACAAAUGGAAGCAGGGACAGAAUUUGGCCUUAAUGUUUGCUGUCUGGGAUCCCAGAAUGCUAUCAGCUUGGACUGUUACACCGACCAGGAAGUCCUUCCAGACAACAACCAGUCUAGAGAUGUCCAGUAAAUGCCUGGGUAGUUGCUUGUUUACUUUAACAAUGUGCCAUAUUUUUCUAAAACAUGUUUUAUAAAUACCUUACUUCUGUGUGUUGUGGGAUGCAAAGCAAGAAGCAGUUUUAUAGCGCAGCUGGGCAAAGGGCAAGCUGGCAAUCUGUGCCAGGUCAGGAGGUUGCAGACAUUAAAAAGAAAUGAGAUUUUAUUUUGUCCUUAAUGGAGGACCUUGUUCCUGCUGGAUCCACAACAGAAGCCCUUUCUCCCUCGAGGACAUGCAUUGUGGUGACCUUCCUUUGGCCAAGGGGAGUUGGGUGGCCUUCCCUAUGGAGUCCUUCAAACCCACUCCCGGGUCAUCAAUGGGGCAGGCAGCCCAGCAGUGCCCCAUACUCUUUCCCUCAGGGGCUUACCAUGCUGUCUGUACGUUUACCAGUCCCUACUAGACUAGAAACUGAACCUGAGUUUUAGGUGCACAACCUUUGAUUGUUAACUGCCAGGCCUGUCGGCUGGUUCCAUAAGGGUGCUGCAGGAAGUUGAUGAUUCAUUAGGCAGUGCUCUUCUCCCAGAAUCUUUUCCUGGGCAUGGUGCUGUGGGACACUGCAGCUGAUCCAGGAAUGCACAACAAAUCAUUUAUCUGACGAAUGUAUCCUUUCCCUGCUUACUAAAUACCCAUGACAGAUCGCAAUCGCCUCAAAAUGUAUUCACCUCAAUAUUACUGAACGUGUUCACUGAAUAUCGAAGUAUUCCAUGCAGUUCUUUCAUGAUUUAUUUUAAACUCUGUGGACUGAUGGUGAGCAGUUCUCGGCAAGUAUUCACUAUUGAUUAUUUCAGCCGAGUUGCGAUUGGUCUGGUAAGUCAUAUGGCAUUGUUUCCAUUCCUUGACUGGAGGAGCGCACAAGGCCAUGUUGUUCUAAUAGAUGUGUGGACCAAUUUAAAAUUUGGUUUCUGCCAAUCCUUAUGCAUGCAAAUUUAAUUGCCUUUCUGUGAACUUUCACACCAGUGUAACACAAUUGCGUGAACAUUUGUGGAAAGUGAACAGAAAAGGGGUCAAUGUUCCAGGGACUUUUUGGUGGAACCUUUUAUUUCCAUACUUCCCAGCUCUAUGUGGUUGCUUUGCAGCUGGAGAUACCACUUUUUUUGGUUUCAGAGGAACAGCCGUGUUAGUCUGUAUUCGCAAAAAGAAAAGGAGUACU